GACGAACGCUGGCGGCGUGCUUAACACAUGCAAGUCGAACGGUGAAGGGACCGGUUUUUGCUGGUUCUGGAUGAGUGGCGAACGGGUGAGUAACACGUGAGUAACCUGCCCCCUUCUUCUGGAUAACCGCAUGAAAGUGUGGCUAAUACGGGAUAUUCUGCGCCUGCUGCAUGGUGGGUGUGGGAAAGAUAUUGUUUCGGUGGGGGAUGGGCUCGCGGCCUAUCAGCUUGUUGGUGGGGUGAUGGCCUACCAAGGCGGUGACGGGUAGCCGGCCUGAGAGGGUGGACGGGCACACUGGGACUGAGACACGGGCCAGACUCCUACGGGAGGCAGCAGUGGGGAAUAUUGCACAAUGGGCGCAAGCCUGAUGCAGCGACGCCGCGUGAGGGAUGGAGGCCUUCGGGUUGUAAACCUCUUUCGCCAGUGAAGCAGGCCUGUCCCUUUUGUGGGUGGGUUGACGGUAGCUGGAUAAGAAGCGCCGGCUAACUACGUG
rnacentral:rRNA from 1 species